ACAAAAUUUGGACCGUCGCGUCGGUCUGCCGAGCAAUAUCAUCGGCUCGGUGGAAGAUCAUCAUCCCUUUUGUCGU
rnacentral:pre_miRNA from 1 species